CGCCGAGUGCAGAGAAGUGACGAGUGCAGCGUACCUGAUAACAAGCCACCCCACGAGCAGUAUAAGAGACCCGCCUGAACCUCAGACAGACGUAGAGCGACUCCAGGUUGUUUCGUGAGAGACAACAAGCAUUCACCAUGCCUCAACCGUGCUGUGGAACUGAUCCGGCUUGCAAGUGCGCGCCGGGCUGCAAGUGCGACACAUGCUCCUGUGCCUGCGACAAGAAGUGAAGGAGACGUCAUUAUCUCUGGGUUCUCGUACAUGGAUUAACACGUUUCUUUACCAACUGACAACAUUUCGAAGAACUGAAGACAUGAAGAUUGAAAGAUUAUGAAUCGUACAUUAUAACUCUUCAAUAACUUUAAUAAAUUUAUUUUAUUACCUGA